rnacentral:antisense_RNA from 1 species
CUUCAGCGACCCCAACCACAACGGCUGGUCGCGAUCCUGCCCGUACGUAGCCAGCAGGGCCUGCGCCUC